UUGGAAUUUAGACAAAUAAUGAAGAAUUUUUUAGUGUAAGUAUGUCUUAUGCAAUAUUUGGGACAUACUUAUGCUAAAAAAUUUAUUAGUUAUCUGAAAUUCAA
ensembl:miRNA